rnacentral:lncRNA from 1 species
CUCAAUCUAAAUAUUUCACACCAUAUUAUCAUUACAACAUCAUAAUUUACCAAUAUACUCAAAAAUCAUCAACCCAUCAUAAUUCAUCAUAAAUCAUCAUUCAACAACUCAAAUCCUCAAAUCAUUAUACAUCAUCAUCAUCAUACAACAAUCCCAACAACCAAUUUAAUCCAAUCCUAUCCUAUGGGUCACUAGUCUAAGUGUCCAUGAACAUUACAUAUUACACAAAGGAAACCGAAACCAUACCUUGGCCAAUUCCCAAUAUGCUCCAACACCAAACUUGAUUCAAAUCAAGCUUCCACUAAGCUCUAAACUAUCAAGCCAAACCAAAAGCCACUACUAACUCCAAAAACAUGCUUCAUACAUACAACAUAACCGUACAUCAACAACUAAAGCUCAUACUAUACCAAACUACAAGGAUAAAGAGGUUCCUUACCUUAUUUAACGAGAUUAGGGGUAAAAUCCAACAAUUACUCGCUACUAGAGAUCACCUAAACAAGCAAAACCACAAAAUCUACUCAAAACUCAUAACCAAAAUCAUGCAGAAACUUAGGGCAGAGAACUGGGGAUUGAGCUUCGAGUUCUUACCAGAAAAACUUAGAUAGAAAGGAAUAGCUUGUCGAGAGCUUCACGUGGCCACAAACGGCUCAUCAAUCGGAGGUUCGUAGCUCAAGUUACAAGCAAAUGAAGGUGAGGGUGAAUAAUAAAACCC